AUACAGCAGCGCUGACGGGCAGCGGCGGACCCGCCUCCCCAGUUCCCCAGCAGUUUCACCAUCUGGCCUCACACCAGCCUGCAGCCAUUGCUCACACUUGUGCAGGCUCACCUAGCCAGCAGCCACCAGUGUGGUGUCAGUGGCAGGAAGAGUCACUCAUUAGUGGGACAGCCCUUGCAGCUACUGGAAGGCACUGCAGCGUGUUAAUCCUCAUACAGCCAAGAGGAACUGCAACGGUAAAUAAAGGUUCUGUGGGAAUGUUCUAGGUGAGAAGUAUAGUGAGAGGAUACAUGUUGCACCUGUGCAACACUUGUUGGAGCAACAAGGAAGUGGAGGGGUGUAAGAAUUAAAAACGUAACAACCAAAAAAGACAUUGACCCCCAGGGAAAGGUUAUAAAGACAGAACUCUUGAACACCCUGCUCCCUCUGCAGCUAGCUACUGCCAAAAUACUCCAGUCUAUCUGUAUACACCUUGUCCUUAAUUGCUUCUAAAUAAUAACCAGGACACACUUUUUUUCCUUCUCAUUUAUUGUUCAAUACAGGACAUUGGUGAGGUAAGGUGUCUCACAAGGGUCUAAGCUGCCAGGCUCCUUGCGGAUGGAGCUGAAAGAUGCAGAAGAUGGUGGUUCCUUUUUCUUCCCCCCAGUACUAGUGGCCCUCCCUCCCUGCAGGGCUGCAAAGAGAGAGAGGCAAUGGCCAGGUUGACUGUGGGCUCUAACAGCUCAACAGAUAACCAAGGAUUUUGCCAGUUCAGAAAGGAGACUCUGCUGAGAUGGGCUCACACUAAUGGGACUCCAACAAGGUGGUGGGGGUUAGCAGCACAGCUAGAACAAUAAUUGUGGUGGUGGGGGAAAG